rnacentral:lncRNA from 1 species
UAUUACGUUAUUGUGAAACAAUUUAUCUCAAAAUUCUGUAAAGGCAAUUGGCAAAUUAUCUAGCUCAUAAAAUCUUGCAAUUUGAUCUAGGAGAACGUAUGCACUCCAGCAAAUGCGUACGGCGGUGCAGUGGGCGUAUUGUGUCGAGUGAUAUCCAGAUGGUCGGCAUUGGUUUCUAAUUUGACGUACUGAAGCCGUCUGGAACAAGAGUGCUAAGAGCCAAGCCAUGGGGAAGAAAAUUCAUUCUCUCUGUUCACAUGACCAGUGUAACAGCCAAAAUAACAAGGGCUUUGUUGUUGUUGCUUAGACGUUUUGAUGUUCGAAUUUUGAUAAGGAUGUAGAUCCUGCCAAUACGGAAGUUCAGCCAAUGUUGUAGCACGACAAGUUGAUGCCCUAGUUACGUCGUGCGGUUCGGGUUAGUUUCACCGAGAUGAGGAAAAGGUAGGCCUAUCUGUUAAAUUCAUUUCUGCCAUUGGAGCAGCUACAGGUAUGAAAACUAUUGAUCCGGCAGCCGAAUUUGGUGCUUUUUAUUUUUAAUUAGAAAAAUUCCUUAUAAAAAUCAGUCCCAAUAAAUUCCUCCAAUAAUCCAGCAUCAUUCUUCUGUUGUUUUUAACUAUUGCCUUCUUUAACUCCUUUGUUUGUCUUCGAAUGAGGUAAUAAUUCAGCAAACACAAGAAUGAUGCUGGAUAUGUUUUAUUUACAGUGACAACAUAACAUCGGUGGCAUUCCCUUCGGACACCGAGUGAUCCCAAGGCAUCAGGUACAUCCAGGAUAUCUGCAAGUACAAUUUAAAAAUUUAUUCUGUUAACCCCUAACGAUCAAUCCAGGACUUGGUUUUCUUGUCUAGUCGUCUAAGGCGGUCUAAGGGUCUAAACGUUACAAUCAGGUUGCAAAAAAUAUUGCAGAGAUAAAUUACUUGCUUUAAAAACAAUAUUUAGUAGCAAAGCUGGGUGCAUAAAACAUGCAUUUUAAUCUAGACAAAUGAGAAUACGAAUUCAUUACUUGGGAAACUGCUACGAAUUGUGAUUAUUCCCCUCGCGCUAUCGGGAGUGCGUGGAACAUCAUUCAGAGAACUACGCUAGUGCCUGAUGACAUCCAUAGGGCUUGUACCAUUUGCCUCGGAAGGUGUAUAAAUGCCUGGUAGUAUUCCAAUGUUUGCUAUCACUUACCGAGUUGAGCUCAGCAACAGCAGAACAGCAAGAAAUCAAUCUUUUCUUUAGAAUGAAACAGCAGACGUAAUUUAACUUUCUUAUUUGAUGUGAAUUGGAAAUAUACUGUAAUUUUCAGUAAUUGCAUGUUGUUCUCUCUUACAGGUUCGCUGUAAUUGUCUUGGUAGUAUUGUGUUCAGUUCAACCUUAGCUUAAAGAAACUGGUGAUGAUAGUUUUGCUCCUCUAAC